ensembl:lncRNA
UUUUCACACUGCUCCCAUGGAACAAAUUUUUGUUGCUUUGGUUGUAUUUAAGUAACAAGAGACUUUCAAGGCAAAUUUUGGAAGGCAUUUAAGUAACUCACUCCACUUAGGAGAUCAGGCUCAGAAUAGCAUGCCACAUGAUCCAAUAACCCUGGCAGAUUGUUGCCUACUAGCUGGGUCUGAAUGGCAGGAUAAAAUGUGGCUGGAGGAGCACCAUGUUGCCUGGAGCACUAGGUUAAGCCCUACUUUGCUGCUGAAGUAUGCAUCAUCCUGGCUGAUGCUUUGAUGGAGAAAUUGUAGUUAAAUGGGAAAACAUUUGUGUUGUACUGCUGCUUGCCUAAGUGGCUGAAGGAUAUGGCUUUUGAAUUAAGCAUGCUCUGAAACAGCGUUCCAGUAUGUAAAUGUUUGGUGUGGAGAUUACUGAUGAAGAGUUUGAGCUGCUACUUGACAGAAUCCCCCUUGAUGAAGAUGGAAAUGUCAGAUACCCCCAGUUCAUGCUCAGGUUUGGUUCCUGGUAUGCAGCAUAUGCAUUUUAUUUCUCAUUUGUGAAUAGAAUUAUUUUUAAUCUAAAAGGUUUGCAUAAUAUUUCCAGACUAAAUCUCAUUUCUUAACUGUGCUCCUUUAUGACAUAUUUCUUACACAGAGUGUGCUGAUUACAUUUAAAAUUAGCUGAUGUUGUGGGUGCAUGCUGUUUGUAAUUUGUUGCUCUUUACAUGUUAUUUAUAUAUUUUAGAAGAAAGACUUCAAAGUUUUAUAUAACAAAAUCUUUGUGUUUUCUGAUGGUUGGGAAAUACGUCAGACUUCUAAAUAAAAUUAUUAAUAAUAGAAUUAUUUCCAGAAAACAGUAAUAAAUGUACUUAAUAUAUAUUUGAGAACUUGAAGGCCCUAUAUUUACAGGCCCUAUAUAUAGUCUAAAGUACAUCUGAGAUGCUGAUAUUGGUUAAUAGAAACUCUACGCACCCUCCAAGGCCUAGCUGUGAAUUAGUUUAAUUAAAAUAAAAAACAUUGGACCAGAUAAAGAUAUUCUAUUAUUUCCCAAAAAUUAAAACUCUAUCCCCAAAACUGUCAUGCCAGUAGCAGGACAGAAGCCAGUGUAAUUUCUGAGGUCAAUGAAAGACUUGUGGAAUCUGGGACUGGAGAAAGCCAUUCCACCCAUGAAAACCAAAGAAGUAAAUUCCAGCAAUGUCCCACACAGUUGUAUGUGCACAUAAGAGUUAAACUGCUCAGUUAUUUAUUUUAUUUAUCAGGUAAGGGUAAGGUCUGCAUACACACAAGGGUAGGUAGAAGUCUGAGUUCUCUGUAUAGAAACCACAUGAGAUACCUUCCUGAACUUCAAGUAGCAAACCAACUAAUAUUGCAGACCUGAUGAAAUUGCAUCUUCCUUCCCACUCCAUUCAAUCAUCUUUCACUCUUUCUUUUCCUCUGUCCUUGCCUUCCUGCUUCAGGAAGCUUUGGGGCUGAAUUCAUCUGUCUACACAUUUCCACACAAGGCAGUUGGAUAUGACACAGGAUUAACGAGAUAUAUGUGACCUUCUAAACGAUAUCUCCAAGGUAAUCUCCAAACAUGAAAUUGCAUCUUCCUUCCCACUCCAUUCAAUCAUCUUUCACUCUUUCUUUUCCUCUGUCCUUGCCUUCCUGCUUCAGGAAGCUUUGGGGCUGAAUUCAUCUGUCUACACAUUUCCACACAAGGCAGUUGGAU